rnacentral:lncRNA from 1 species
UUGGGGGCGGGGCGAGCGAGAGGCAAGACCGGAAGGGGCGGGACCGAGAGACCGCGCAGUCGGGGCUGGCCCCUGGAGGCUGGGAGGUGCUGACCGGGCCCUUCGGGACGGCGUUGUGGGAAGAAACGCCGUGGGGAAGGCGGAUCUGAGAUAUUCGAGGGACCCCAGGUUACUCUAAAGCAUCUGGAGCCGACGAGAAGGCGCUGGUUUCCGGGGGGGAAUCCGGGGAGACGAGAGCGAAGGAGGGAAUCGCAGGAACCCGGACAGCUGUGCUGUUUGACCCAGAACAGCCUGCCAAGGAAACCAGAAGGUGAAGAGCAGGGUUCCUGAUCUGACCCAAAGACCUGCAUGUGACCUGGAACAAGCAUUUUUCUAUCUUUCCUCAGUCCCAGAGGCUGGUUCCGGAAAAGACUUCAGCCUCCCAAGAACAUGUUACUGCCAAGUUUUCUGUUUUACGUGAAAUUAUCCUGAAAGCCGAGCUAGAUUCUAAGUAGUUCUUUUUGCAUAAAGCAUGGAGUAUGACCUCCUGAGGCACAUACUGGGGACUCAGAAGAUCUCUGACAUACCCAGGUGCAUCUGCAGUGGCCACUGUGAGCCAGACAGUGAGGAGAAAAUGAGGCAGAGCAGGGCAGGGAGGAGCUCUGAAUCCAGGAUUCAUUUCCCUAUCUGGUGAAGGGAGAAGAGGUGGAAGUGAAACCGCUCAACAGGGCUCACCCAACCAGAAAACAUCAGAAGGGGCAUCUCAGUGUCUGGGAAACAAGCUAGAACCAACAUAGCUGAGAAAGCCCCAACCUAUAUGGGGUUCAGGGGUAAGAGGAAGAAAAUAAAAAUGGAGACAUGAUAAUCA